rnacentral:rRNA from 1 species
AUUGAACGCUGGCGGCAGGCCUAACACAUGCAAGUCGAACGGUAACAGGAAGAAGCUUGCUUCUUUGCUGACGAGUGGCGGACGGGUGAGUAAUGCCUGGGAAACUGCCUGAUGGAGGGGGAUAACUACUGGAAACGGUAGCUAAUACCGCAUAACGUCGCAAGACCAAAAAGGGGGACCUUCGGGCCUCUUGCCAUCGGAUGUGCCCAGAUGGGAUUAGCUAGUAGGUGGGGUAACGGCUCACCUAGGCGACGAUCCCUAGCUGGUCUGAGAGGAUGACCAGCCACACUGGAACUGAGACACGGUCCAGACUCCUACGGGAGGCAGCAGUGGGGAAUAUUGCACAAUGGGCGCAAGCCUGAUGCAGCCAUGCCGCGUGUAUGAAGAAGGCCUUCGGGUUGUAAAGUACUUUCAGCGGGGAGGAAGGGAGUAAAGUUAAUACCUUUGCUCAUUGACGUUACCCGCAGAAGAAGCACCGGCUAACUCCGUG